rnacentral:rRNA from 1 species
AUUGAACGCUGGCGGCAGGCCUAACACAUGCAAGUCGAACGAGUGGCGGACGGGUGAGUAAUGUCUGGGAACCUGCCUGAUGGAGGGGGAUAACUACUGGAAACGGUAGCUAAUACCGCAUACCAUCGGAUGUGCCCAGAUGGGAUUAGCUAGUAGGUGGGGUAAAGGCUCACCUAGGCGAAGAUCCCUAGCUGGUCUGAGAGGAUGACCAGCCAUACUGGGACUGAGACACGGCCCAGACUCCUACGGGAGGCAGCAGUGGGGAAUAUUGCACAAUGGGCGAAAGUCUGAUGGAGCCAUGCCGCGUGAAUGAAGAAGGCCUUCGGGUUGUAAAGUACUUUCAGCGGGGAGGCGGUACCCGAAGAGGAAGCACCGGCUAACUCCGUGCCAGCAGCCGCGGUAAUAC